rnacentral:rRNA from 1 species
CCUACGGGGGGCUGCAGUGAGGAAUUUUCGUCAAUGGGGGCAACCCUGAACGAGCAACGCCGCGUGCAGGAAGAAGGUUUUCGGAUCGUAAACUGCUUUUCUGUGGGAAGAGAACGGACGGUACCACAGGAAGAAGCCCCGGCUAACUACGUGCCAGCAGCCGCGGUAAUACGUAGGGGGCGAGCGUUGUCCGGAGUUACUGGGCGUAAAGGGCGUGCAGGCGGUGCAGUAAGUUGAGAGUGACAGUCUCCGGCUCAACUGGAGAAGGCCUCUGAAAACUGCUGGACUUGAGGGCCAGAGAGGGACAUAGAAUUCCGGGUGGAGUGGUGAAAUGCGUAGAUAUCCGGAGGAAUACCAAAGGCGAAGGCAGUGUCCUGGCUGGCAACUGACGCUGAGGCGCGAAAGCUAGGGGAGCGAACAGGAUUAGAUACCCCAGUAGUC